ACUAUUAUUUUUUCUAUUGAUUUAUAUUUUGAAUUUUAAAUUGUAAAAUCAAAAGCACUUUCUCAAUUGAGUUGCUAAAUCCCUAACCCCAUUAUGUCUCGUUCCCAAAGACGACGAUUCAAUGUUUGAACCCAAUUGAUCAUGUGAACACUCAGAACAAAAUCCAAACAAAAUCAAAUCUGUCUAAACUUUCCCAAUUAUGUUCAUUCUCCACCGUUUAAUUCUUUGUCCCUUUCGUCGGACUCCAUCAAAACCAAAACCUUUAAUCAUCUUCUUUGUCUAAAGCACUUCGUUUCUCGCCAGCUCGUGCUCCGUAAGAUUACAGUUCUUCGCAUCACAGUCGCUCAUCUAUCGCCGACGGGAUGAGCUCAGACCAGAUUGAAGUUCUUAAUCUUGCCAUAAGGUAUGGUUUCAUAAGUCAAGGCUUUAAUCUAUAGGAUUUGAUAUUUCCGUCUUUAAUUCCUCUAUGGAUGGUUGGCAGUGUGGUCGUGAGAUUUUUUGUCUAUAUGAUUUGAGAUCUGAGUCUUUUAAAUCCAUGUGUGUUUCAUUCUUGAAGUAUAAUUAGUGAUUUGGACAAAAUGUACAUGUGUGUUCCAUUAUAUAGGUGAAGCUGCAGUGGUUUGAGCUUGGUAUCACCAUGGAUGAAAGCUUGAUCAGAUCUGCAAUAAGAAUGAUGAAUUUACAUAUUUGGUCCUUAUAUUUAUGUAAGUAUUUGUUUUCACCCUUAAUUUUUAAAUAGUGGACAAGUAUGGACGUGGUCUAUGAACUAGACAUGGAUCGACCAGAUUGAAACAUGGUCGAAUGAUAAACCAUAUUUAGUAUGCUGUCCAUAAGUACUUGGUCUGUCCGACCUAAGUAAAGGAGUUUGAUAAGUAGACAGUCACGUCUAGACUAUGGACAGAUGCAAACACGUUUUGCAAAGACCAACAUGUGAUUCCCGAGGACAAUGUGGUUCACAUUGCUUAGCACACAUGCUUUAAACGGGACACUCAAUGUCAAAGGACAUGAGAAACGACCUAAGAGGUCUAAGUGGUCUUAAUUACAGUGCAGUAAUGAAACUGGCCGAUUACUCCCUUCCUACACAGACAGGAUAGAUCACGCAUCAAGAUGCGUAGUAUGUAGAACCUACACCGAGGUUCACAUCAGGGGGAGUAGUGCGUGUUGUACUCUUUUUCCUUCAUCAUGGUUUUGUCCCACUGGGUUUUCCUGAUAAGGUUUUAAUGAGGCAACAUUAAGCGUACUACAAAUCCUAUAUGCGCCAGUUGAAGGAUCUUCAGUGAUCCCUUCAUCAGGGAGAGUGUCAUGUGUUGUACUCUUUUUCCUGUCUACGGUUUCCAUUUUUCCCACCUUAGGUUUUUGGUUUUCCUAGAAAGGUUUUAAUGAGGCAAUAUCGUGCAUGAUACAAAUCCAUAUGGUUAUGGCAUCCAAGGGGGAGUGUUAUGAACAUUGUGGAUUGUCAUUAACCAAGACAAGAAGAGAUGGCCCAUCAGACCACGACCAGGCCCAACCACAGUCGUGUCCAAGAGGAGAGAGAGUCGGCCUAUCCUUUGGCCGACAUUAGAUAUAGGAUGAUUUCCUUUUCUAUGUUUUAGAUCUUUUCCUAUUUCAUGUUGUAUUAGGUUUUGGAUAAUUUCAUUUUUCCUAUUCCUUGUAACUCCUAUAUAAGAGAACACUUUGAUUGAGUAAUAAUAGAUAGACACACACGAAAAUAUUCAGUCUAAAAACCCUUCGUUCACAACACCCCUUACCCGAUAGGAUAAGGAAAAAAUUACACACAUGGACACUUUAUGUCUUUGCAAUGACACAAUAAGACACUUUCUACUUGGUACACACUUUAUGUGUGGUGUUUGACAGAUAUACCCUUUAACCACGUAGAGCAUUCUCGUUGAUUCACCAAAACAUUUACUAUUAUUUUUUCUAUUGAUUUAUAUUUUGAAUUUUAAAUUGUAAAAUCAAAAGCACUUUCUCAAUUGAGUUGCUAAAUCCCUAACCCCAUUAUGUCUCGUUCCCAAAGACGACGAUUCAAUGUUUGAACCCAAUUGAUCAUGUGAACACUCAGAACAAAAUCCAAACAAAAUCAAAUCUGUCUAAACUUUCCCAAUUAUGUUCAUUCUCCACCGUUUAAUUUUUUGUCCCUUUCGUCGGACUCCAUCAAAACCAAAACCUUUAAUCAUCUUCUUUGUCUAAAGCACUUCGUUUCUCGCCAGCUCGUGCUCCGUAAGAUUACAGUUCUUCGCAUCACAGUCGCUCAUCUAUCGCCGACGGGAUGAGCUCAGACCAGAUUGAAGUUCUUAAUCUUG
rnacentral:lncRNA from 1 species